rnacentral:lncRNA from 1 species
GUGGCUAAGAGUUAGGAGGCUAAAGCGACAGGAGCAGAUAACGGGUCCAAUGACCGAUCCCAACAAGCUAAGAGUCAAGGCUACUCAAGUGAAGCAGUAGAAGUGGACAAGGAACAAAAAAAUCUACUCACAGCUGGAGAAAAUUUGUGUCAAGAUGAAUCAUGUUUUGAAUCUUCUCUCAUGUCAGAUUUAGAUAACUGUUUGGACUAUGGACCUCUUAGUUGAUGCUGGAAAGUGUUAAGAUUUUGGGGACUAUUAAGGUGAAAUAAAUGUAUUUUGCAUGUGAGAAAGACAUUAAUUUUGGGGGCUGUGGUGGAGAGCUAUGGCUUGAAUGUGUCCCCUAAGAAGCAUGUGUUGGAAACUUAAUCCCCAGUGCAACAGUGUUGGAAAGUUGGGCGUAAGAAAAGAUGUUUAUGUCAUAAGGGCUCCACCCACAUGAAUGCAUUAUUACUGAUUGUUAAAAGGCUUGAGGCUGCAAGUUUGAUCUCUCUCAUACACAAGCAUAUGUGGUUUCUUGCUCUUCUGUCUUUCACCAUGGGAUGGCUCAGUGAGAAGACUCUAACCAGAUGUAGGCCCCCUUGACUUUGAACUUCUCAGCCUCUCGAGCUGUAAGAAAUAAAUCACUGCUUUUUAAAUAAAUUAUCCAGUUUCAGAUAUUCUUUUGUAGCAGCAAAAAAUGGACUAUGACAUGGAGCUUUAAGAGACAUCUGAUAAAAAUAAAAUUUAAGUGAAAACGUGGGCAGAUAGGAUGAGAACCUGUCCCAUGAAAAAACCCUGUGUAGUCACUAGGUGAGAGAAGAAAUUCAGAACACCAUGUCUUCACUCUAUAUGUGUACAUCCUAGAGAUGAAGAAUUAUAGAUUAAAAAACCAAAAUUACUAUUUAAUUAUUUUGUAUAACAAAAUGAGACACUACCAUCACUUUUUGAGACACUUAUAUCUAUGUCAACCAAAAAGCAAAUCCCAAUUUUUCCUCCCCAUACAACAGACCAUCACAUAAACUCCGCCCUGUGAGGGCCCAGGCCAUCUAAUUACAGCAUUGCAGCUAUCACAACUAAGCCAAGUAUCUCAGGAGAAAAAAAGCUACCUGUUUCUAGCCACACAAUUAAGCCAUGUAAACACAUGUCAUACUUUGUGUCAAAGCAGUGAUAGUAUCAGUUACUUAGAGAUGAAUAACUGGUGCUUGGGACUGGAGCAGCCUUGAGACAAGAAUAUCACUCAUCAGUCCCAAAGAAAUGGCAGAGGAGGAACCAUGGCUGGAAAAGCAGACGCUAUAGUGGAAGACAACCUUUUAGGCUUCCUCAAAAGCCUGGAGUUGGGGUAUCUUGCUGGUAAUUGAAAUUCCUAUGUAAAAUGUUGGAAUAAAGAAUAAAGUUAAUUUGGGUGUGUUCUAUUUUUUCCACAUAAACUUGCAAGUUAGACCCACAGUUUUUGCUUAUGUAUCAAUGUUAUAAUAUGCUACUUUAACACUAGUGCUAGUUUAUUAAUCCUAUGAGUUCAACUGUGUAAUUUUCAUUUUUUUGCUGUGUUUUGUAGGAUUUUAUGUAGUUUAA